AUAGAAUAAAAUGGUUACAUAAUACAUUCUAGAACUAAAAAGACUUUUGGUAAUAUUUUACAUUUUAAGAAAGUAAAGAGUUAGUAAUGAAGGGCUUAUAUUACAUUAACAUUUUGUAUGUUAAAUGUUUUCUAAAAUGAAGAUAGUUCUAAAUGCUAUCUGCCUGGGCCUGGCCUUUGAAUUUACAGCUUUUGAGAUUUUUCCUGAGCAGGAAUAGAAAUACUGUGAGGCUAACAGAGAGGAGGAACUUCAGCUGAACCAUGUUGAGAAGAGAGACAUGCUCCACUCUGACUUACAGGGUCCCACUUUUCUCAUGAGGGACAUGAAACUACUGGAAAUACAGUACCCUGUACUACUGGACUAUAUUUUUUUCUAAACCACAUACCUCUGAUGAAGUUUAAUUGAUGUUAGGCUCAAUAAGAGACUAGCAAUAACUACUAAUAAAAUAGAACCAUCAAAACAAUGAAUGUAAUAAAAGUCAUAUGAAUGUGGCCUCUCAAAAUAUCUUCCUGUACUGGGCUUACCUUCCUUCCUGCUUGUUGUGAUGAACAGGUAUGACGGGGGCCUACUGCAUAGAUGAGCUGAGCUGAAGUGAAUCAAGUAAACAUUAUGGCAUAGCAUAAGCUAUCCUUGACUUUCUUACUUAAACACAAACAUCAUAGCAUUGUGAGAGGAAUAUUGAGUGCCUGACAGACAGGUAGUGAAAACAUCAUGGAAAACAUUGUGGAUAUGCUGAAUAUAAGGAUGAUUAUUUGUGCUCCUGGAAGGACUGAUUUCAUUACACUACUCAGAAUCCUGCAUAAUUAAAUUUUAUAAAUGGGU